UUUAUCUCAUCCUGGUAGCCAUAUUUCAUUGAUAUAAGCAGUACAUCGAAGCACAGCUACAAGCCAGUUACAUAGGAACGACGCACACAUAGAACACGACGGGAACAGAGAAUCUAAAACACCUAGCAACGACAAGCGAGGCGCCUAGGCGCGCUCCCCGCGGAUGCGGCGGGCGAGCUGGAUGUCCUUGGGCAUGAUGGUGACGCGCUUGGCAUGGAUGGCGCAGAGGUUGGUGUCCUCGAAGAGGCCGAUGAGGUAGGCCUCGGCGGCCUCCUGCAGGGCAGAGACGGCGGAGCUCUGGAAGCGGAGGUCGGUCUUGAAGUCCUGCGCGAUCUCACGGACCAGGCGCUGGAAGGGGAGCUUGCGGAUGAGCAGCUCCGUGCUCUUCUGGUACUUGCGGAUCUCGCGCAGCGCGACGGUGCCCGGGCGGAAGCGGUGCGGCUUCUUCACGCCGCCGGUGGCGGGGGCCGACUUGCGCGCCGCCUUGGUCGCCAGCUGCUUCCACGGGGCCUUGCCGCCGGUGGACUUGCGCGCCGUCUGCUUCGUACGGGCCAUCGGGGGAGGAGCGGGGGCGCUGGGAUGGGAGAUCGGAGAGGUUUGCUCGGGUGUUUUGAAGUGGAGCGGGGGAGAUUUGCUUUGCGAUGUGGAAAUGGAGGGGAGACAGGGGGAAUAAAUAGGAGGCGGGUGGAUUUGGUGCUCGGAGCGCGGAUCCGGAAUUCGGCCGCGGGUGGGGG
rnacentral:lncRNA from 1 species